rnacentral:rRNA from 1 species
UCGAUUGAGUUUGAUCAUGGCUCAGGACGAACGCUGGCGGCGUGCUUAACACAUGCAAGUCGAGCGGAAAGGCCCCUUCGGGGGUACUCGAGCGGCGAACGGGUGAGUAACACGUGGGUAAUCUGCCCAAGGCACAGGAAUAACCAGUGGAAACGCUGGCUAAUGCCUGAUGAUGUGCCGGCCUUUCGGGGCUUGUACCAAAGGUAGCUUCGGCCUCCGGUCUUGGAUGAGCCCGCGUCCCAUUAGCUUGUUGGUGAGGUAACGGCUCACCAAGGCGACGAUGGGUAGCUGGUCUGAGAGGACGAUCAGCCACACUGGGACUGAGACACGGCCCAGACUCCUACGGGAGGCAGCAGUGGGGAAUCUUGCGCAAUGGGCGAAAGCCUGACGCAGCAACGCCGCGUGCGGGAAGAAGGUCUUAGGGUUGUAAACCGCUUUCAGCAGGGACGAAGGCAAUCGGGUUAAUAGCCCGUGAGUUGACGGUACCUGCAGAAGAAGGUCCGGCUAACUACGUGCCAGCAGCCGCGGUAAUACGUAGGGACCAAGCGUUGUCCGGAAUCAUUGGGCGUAAAGAGCGUGUAGGCGGCUUGUUAAGUCUUGUGUGAAAUCUCGGGGCUCAACCCCGAGCGGUCAUGAGAAACUG